rnacentral:rRNA from 1 species
UGGCGUCCCUAAAAAAUGGAAGUUCGAUCGGUAACGCGGGGGCAACCCUGGCGACGAGAGGCGGACGGGUGACGAACGCUUGGGAAUCUGCCCAUCAGCGGGGGACAACCCGGGGAAACUCGGGCUAAUACCGCAUACGCUCUAUGGAGGAAAGCCGGGGACCGCAAGGCCUGGCACUGAUGGAUGAGCCCAAGUCGGAUUAGCUAGUUGGCGGGGUAACGGCCCACCAAAGCGACGAUCCGUAGCUGGUCUGAGAGGACGAUCAGCCACACCGGAACUGAGACACGGUCCGGACUCCUACGGGAGGCAGCAGUGGGGAAUAUUGGACAAUGGGGGAAACCCUGAUCCAGCGACGCCGCGUGGGUGAAGAAGGCCUGCGGGUUGUAAAGCCCUUUCGGUAGGGACGAAAGCUCUUGCCUUAAUACGGCAGGAGGUUGACUUAACCUACAUAAGAAGCACCGGCUAACUCUGUGCCAGCAGCCGCGGUAAUA